AAAAGUUGCCAUCUUUUCCAGAUACUGCAGAAACCGUCAGAGUUGAACAGAGCACACAGGUUUCCUUCAGAAGCUGACAGAAAUGGACCAUUUAGCCAAGAAAGCUGUGGUGGUGCCUUGUGUACAAGCUCACUGGAAAAAAAAUGUUGAAAAAGCGUGCAAUAUUAAAGGGUCAGCACGACCACAGUUCCUUGGCAAGAUGUACCACCACAUGGUGUAAAUCUGGUACAAAGCUGAGCGGCUGGGAUCAGGACCUUGUGGAGGUACAAAAGCAGCUUUGGUAGGU